GAACCCUCCAUCACUGGGACCACUGGAGAGGCCUGACUGCCAGCCUCCUCCCUAUUGACUAUGGGCCCUGGGUUUGUAAAGGCUUCUGCGGCUACCUCCAGCAGUAUAUCAUCUCAUCACUGGCAGAGGGGAUUAUCUCCGGCAGACAGCCAGGAUCUGCCACCAGGGAGUGACCACCAUUGUUUCAGUUUAAUGUUGUAUAAAUCAGCCCCCCCCCUCCCAUUGUAUUGUUAAUCUUGUUACUGCCCCUGUUGUCUCUGGGAGAUUAAGAGGGCAGUUUGUGUCCCAAUAUCUUGUUUUAUGUAAAUGUGUGUUUUGCUGGAUAUAUCCAGCCCUGUGUGUCUACAAUAAAUCAGUCUUCAGUUGGUUUUACCCUACACGAAGUCUCGGCUAGUGACUGGGGAACCGGGGAAAGUGUGUUGUCCCAGGCUAAGGGAGCUCAAAUCAGCGGAGGUAUCAGUCGGACUAUUCAGAUCCGUGACACUGGACUUAUGUUGAUGUCCACAUCCUUGUAUUGUUCCCCUCUGCCUAGCAUCUACUUCUCUAGAAUAAAUACUUGAGUGCAAAAA